UACUCGAGUGGCGAACGGGUGAGUAACACGUGGGUGAUCUGCCCUGCACUUCGGGAUAAGCUUGGGAAACUGGGUCUAAUACCGGAUAGGAACCAUCUUUAGUGUGGUGGUUGGAAAGUUUUUUCGGUGUAGGAUGAGCUCGCGGCCUAUCAGCUUGUUGGUGGGGUAAUGGCCUACCAAGGCGGCGACGGGUAGCCGGCCUGAGAGGGUGAUCGGCCACACUGGGACUGAGACACGGCCCAG
rnacentral:rRNA from 1 species